ACUUUUAUUUUCUCAUUUUGUUCUGGAUAUGAUGCAUGCUGGUUAAUUGUAUUUAUGUAUUUACAUAUUUUAUAAAGAUCAUUGAGUCAUUGCCUCGUUUGUUUGAACUUUGAACCAUAUUAUUUUAGUUUGUGCUUUCAUUCUAUUGUAGAUUGUGUGUAUCUGGGUCUGGUUUUUCUGACCAAUUUGAGUGUUGUUGAUUUGUCUGGAUUUUUUUUUGUACAUAUAUUUUUUUUUCUUUUCAUUGGGUGAUAUCAAAUAAAAGAUAGCUUGUGAUUUUAUUUUAUUGUUCAUCGGGGUGUAUCAUGGGAUCCGUUUAUUUCAAUUUUUUUUGUUUUUCUGAUGCAUUCUUUCUGCCUGACCAUUCAAGUGACGAAAAUAGCAUUUAUAAUUUAUUCCAUUGUUUGAAGAAGUUUAAAUAUAUUUUCGUAAAUUGGUAAGCAAUGAAUAAAUUUUGCAACUUCAGAAAGUAGACCAAUGUUAUUUAGAUUAUAUAUAUAUUCAUAUAAAUGGGGUGAUAGUCUAUGAAACCAGAGCUCACUGUGCAAGCUGAGCCGAUCAUGGGCCCUUAUGGCCCUUCUAUAGUUGAUGAAAAUUUGGAAGCUACAGUGGUCACGUUAGUUUUGGAUUAACUUCAUUUUUGGGACAUUUCAUUGAAAUUUAUACAUGAUGAUAAGUAUUAUGAUUUGGCCAUUAAACUAGUUUUUCAAGUUGAUUAGUUGAAUUUUGUUUGAUUAAUGAACCAGAAGAAGAAAAGUUUGACUGAUUUUGGUUAUGGCAGUAAGGACACUUUACCAGGUGGAGUUUCAGUCAAUAAAAAGAGAGUUGAAAAAGGGCUUUCACAACUAAAGCUUAAAACAAUGGCCAUGAGUACUUAUCCCCAAAAAAAUCAGAGCUCUAUCUCGCCGCUCUCCUAACUCCACUACUCUCUCCAUCUUGCUGUCAUCUCUUCGUUUUUUGAGGUACUCUUGCUCGUCUUUGGUGUGCGUGGCGUCGUCUCCGGUGGUGGUUGUUCUCUCUUCCUGUUAAAGGUUUGGCUGUUCUUGGACUUGGUGUUACAAAUAGCAUUUUUUUAUACUAUGUACAUUUGCUUUUGUUGAUUUGUUUAUACUAUCUAAUAUUUUACAAAUUUUUAGUCACGUACUCUAUUAGAAUAUAUAAAGCUGCUAAUGUUUCCAUUUGCACCAGUGUGGAGGUUAUGCAACUAUUGAAAUUGGUUUUGCAGCUUUUGAAUUUCAAAGCAGGGAUGAUUAGUUUUAUCUAUUUAAAAUAGUAUAGAUUUGUUAAGGAUUAAUAUAUAUGUAAUCACUGUAACUUUGUGAUUUGGAGAGGGCUGUACAAGGGUCUUGUUAUUAGAACUUGAGAAUUUCUUAUUUUGAUGUUCUUUACAUUUUAGUCAAAUUUGCUUUACUUGAUAGGAAACAUUGGGGGGAACUAUGGUAUAUGAGUGGUUGAAAUGACCAUGGCAAUAAUAUUUUUUACUAUGUAAGUUGGGCAUUUGGUUUUGUACAUAAUAAAACAG